rnacentral:rRNA from 1 species
CCCUUAGAUGUUCUGGGCCGCACGCGCGCUACACUGAUGCAUUCAACGAGUUCUUACCUUGGCCGAGAGGCCUGGGCAAUCUUUUGAACGUGCAUCGUGAUAGGGAUAGAUUAUUGCAAUUAUUAAUCUUGAACGAGGAAUUCCUAGUAAACGCUGGUCAUCAACCAGCAUUGAUUACGUCCCUGCCCUUUGUACACACCGCCCGUCGCUACUACCGAUUGAACGGUUUAGUGAGGGCCUCGGAUUGGUCUCGGCCCGCUCUUUACCGGGCGGCGCCGUUGGUCGAGAAGACGCUCGAACUUGAUCGUUUAGAGGAAGUAAAAGUCGUAACA